GAUAAACGCUAGCGGCAGGCUUAACACAUGCAAGUCGAGGGGCAGCAUAGAUUGUAGCAAUACAAUUGGUGGCGACCGGCGCACGGGUGCGUAACGCGUAUGCAACCUACCCGUCACAGGGGGAUAAUCCGGAGAAAUCUGGUCUAAUACCCCAUAACAUAUGGAUCGGCAUCGGUUCAUGUUGAAAUUUUCGGAGGUGACGGAUGGGCAUGGGUAGCAUUAGCUUGUUGGGGAGGUAACGGCUCACCAAGGCGACGAUGCUUAGGGGGACUGAGAGGUUUUCCCCCCACACUGGUACUGAGACACGGACCAGACUCCGACGGGAGGCAGCAGUGAGGAAUAUUGGUCAAUGGGCGCAAGCCUGAACCAGCCAUGCCGCGUGCAGGAUGACGGCUCUAUAAGUUGUAAACUGCUUUUGUGCGAGGGUAAAGUGGGUUACGUGUAACCUUUUGAAAGUAUCGUACGAAUAGGGAUCGGCUAACUCCGUGCCAGCCGCCGCGGUAA
rnacentral:rRNA from 1 species